CAUCGCGAGAUGGAAUCUGAAGGAAGUCGGAGGGCAAAAUUCCGGUCUGAGGAAUACGAAUCACAUAAGAGGCUGAUUAUAAUUGGAUGAGUUUGCAUAACAAAACAAAGUCCGUAUCACCCGAAAGUUAUUGCAGUAGAUGUGGCAGAUAUAUGGAAUGAAAGAUUG
rnacentral:ncRNA from 1 species